rnacentral:tRNA from 1 species
CAGGGAGACAACAAAAUGUUUAAUAUUAUUAUUUUGUCACCUUAGGUCGAUCGGUAUCUCACGUUCUUGAUUAAGAAUUUCAUUUCCUAAGUUUUUCUAGGUCACACCCAUUAUUUUUCCUGGGCCAUUAGCUCAGGUGGUUAGAGCGCACCCCUGAUAAGGGUGAGGUCCCUGGUUCAAGUCCAGGAUGGCCCAUAUCUCUAUGUUGGGGGUAUAGCUCAGUUGGUAGAGCGCCUGCUUUGCAAGCAGGAUGUCAGCGGUUCGAGUCCGCUUACCUCCACUGAUUACCACCUCUUCCAUAACCGGUAGAAAGGAAAUGUUUUGAGUUGUGAUCAAAUUCUGAAAGAAUCUAGCUUCCUAAUGAAAUCAUUAAGAUGCUGGACUCAUUGAAUUAAUUUCAUUGUUUUCAGAGAACCUUGACAACUGCAUAGAUUAUUUUAAAAGACAAUAAGCAUCUUUAAUGAUGCAGAUUUAUUAUUUGUGCUAAUGCAUCAAAUAACAAUUCUAUUAAGCUGAUGCUUCAAUUAUUGAAGUUAUU